CCGGGGGCGGCGGCCGCGGGAAGGAGGGAGGGAGGGUCCGGGAGCCGCCAGUAAAGUGCAAUAAAACCAUGAAUCUUCUACAAUGGAGGAUCCCGCACUGCAGGAAUUUGACCGAGAGGAAUAGCUGACUUUCCACUUGGAUCAGCCUCGCCUGUGGUUGUUUUGGAGCUGUGCAUUGGGCAGGCGGAGACAACGCGAAGGAUAUGAUGUUCAGCCUGAAUGCUCCCCAAAGUGAGGGUUAUGUCCAAGAGCUCUUCCAUGAGGAAGCACAGCAGGUAUCUCAAACGGAGACCAAGCCCUGGUGGAAGAUCCAGCUGUUUGUAUGGGAGCCGGUGCUUUUUGGAACAUGGGAUGGCGUCUUCACCUCCUGCAUGAUCAACAUUUUUGGAGUGGUUCUUUUCCUGAGGACAGGAUGGCUCGUGGGAAACACUGGCAUUGUAAUGGGCAUGUUUCUGGUGUCCUUUGUCAUCCUGGUUGCCCUGGUGACAGUCUUGUCUGGAAUUGGAGUGUGUGAAAAGUGCAGCAUUGGAAGUGGAGGAGUCUACUCCAUGAUUUCUACUGUCCUUGGAGGUCAAAUAGCGGGGACCAUUGGCAUCCUUUACAUUUUUGGCCAGUGUGUUGCAGGUGCCAUGUACAUCACUGGCUUUGCAGAGUCCAUUGCAGAUGUCCUGAGCCUCAGCAACAUCUGGGCAGUGCGUGGGAUCUCCCUGGCUGUCCUGUUUGGCCUGCAGGGGAUCAACCUGGCUGGGGUGAAGUGGAUCAUCAGGCUCCAGCUCCUGCUGCUCUUCCUGCUGGCUGUUUCAACACUGGACUUUGUCAUUGGGUCCUUUACACACCUUGAUCCAGAGAACGGCUUCGUCGGCUACUCCGCAGAGCUGAUGUCCAACAACACACUGCCAGACUACAGCCAGGGGGAGUCCUUCUUCACUGUUUUUGGAGUGUUUUUCCCAGCUGCCACAGGUGUGAUGGUUGGGUUCGACAUGAGUAGAGAUCUCCGGAAUCCUCCCACCAACAUCCCUCUGGGGUCUUUGGCUGCUAUUGGCACCUCGUGGUUUCUGUACAUGGUCUUUGUUUUUUUGCUGGGAGCCAUUUGUACCCGUCAGUCACUGCGCUAUGACUUCAUGAUAGCAGAGAAGGUAUCCUUGGUGGGUUUUUUGUUUUUGCUAGGGCUGUACAUCUCAUCCCUGGCCUCCUGCAUGGGAGGGCUGUAUGGAGCACCGAGGAUCCUGCAGUGCAUUGCCCAGGAGAAUGUGAUCCCUAUGCUCACCUUCCUUGGACAUGGGAAAGGCCCCAACAAGACUCCAGUGGCUGCGAUUUUCUUAACAAGUUUCAUCACUAUGGCUUUUGUCUUCAUUGGGCAAGUAAAUGUUCUUGCUCCCAUAGUCACCAUCAACUACAUGUUGACAUAUACUGCUGUAGACUAUUGCUAUUUCUCUGUCUCCUUGAGCCACAAUAUUCAGCAGAAGCCUGACGAGACCCAGAUGGGAACUACUAGACCUGCUCACUCUUCCCAGCCUUUAAUUUUCAACAAGCCCUCAAGCCAUGCAGCAGAUGGAGUAACUCAAAGCAGAUCAAAUGGCACCUUGCUGGAGUUCAAAAAAGACAUGGACCAGAUUUUUAAACCAUUUUGUAGUGAGCCAGGUACUUGCAAAAAAGAAGGAGCUGAGAAUUUAACCCGAAAGGCCAAACAAAAGGCGAAGAAGCCAGCCAAGCAGACAUUACAAGACAGCUUUCUCCUGGAUCUCCAUCACGAUGCUGCCCCAGCUCAGUACAGCUGGGAUGAGACCACAGGGCCCCACAGCGAGAGCCAGCGGGACCUGGAUGAGCAGGGCUGUCAGAGUGAUGCAGAAACAUCUAUAAAGCAACAAAAUCCAGAGCUGGGAAUUCAGCAAAUACCAGAAGCCUUCUACUCCAGAUUUUUCAGUCACUGGGUGUCCUUUGCUGUUGCAGUUGUGUCCCUCAUCAUAACGUUUGUCAUUCAAUGGAUCUACACCCUGGUCAGCCUGGGUGCAGCGGUUAUUCUGUAUUUCUACAUUGGCAAAGUGAGCCCAGGACUUCCCCUUGCUCCAGCACUUCCUUGCCCCUGCAGGGAGCCAGCGCAGGAAACUAACUCUACAGAGAAACUAAAAAGAAAGAAAAAAAAGUGUUGGUGUAAUAUGCUAAGCCAGCUCUCUGUGGGGUCAGACGAGGGAAUGAAUGGUGAGACCACAGCUGCCCUGGCUGAGGUUGGCUGAAUGGUUUCUCCAGUCUCCCCAUCCCUUGAGUGGUCCAUGGAGGAAAAGGAGCAGCAGCAAAUUUCAGUUUCUUUGGCUGGAUUAAGUCGGUUUUGAUCACUUUGUGCAGGAGAAGGCCAUCUCCCAAGG